GAUGAACGCUGGCGGCGUGCCUAAUACAUGCAAGUCGAGCGAAGCGGGGACGGGUGAGUAACACGUGGAUAACCUCCUAUAAGACUGGGAUAACUUCGGGAUACCGGAGCUAAACAGGAUACAUAUAGAUGGAUCCGCGCUGCAUUAGCUAGGUGGUAAGGUAACGGCUUACCAAGGCAAGGAUGCAUAGCCGACCUGAGAGGGUGAGCGGCCACACUGGAACUUAGACACGGGCCAUACUCCGACGGGAGGCAACAGUAGGGAAUUGUCCGCAAUGGGCGAAAGCCUGACGGAGCAACGCCGCGUUGGUGAUGAAGGUCUUCGGUUCGUAAAACUCUUUUAUUAGGGAAGCGGUACCUAAUCAGAAAGCCACGGCUAACUACGUGCCAGCCGCCGCGGUAAUAC
rnacentral:rRNA from 1 species